UGUGUAUGAUGACACCUUGGUACUGCUGUAAACUGCCGAGUGCUUGGUGGGGAAGCCAUCUUGAAGAGCUGAGCUUGCU
rnacentral:snoRNA from 1 species